rnacentral:lncRNA from 1 species
AAAGGUGUGUCUAAAAUGGAUGCUUUCCUUGUUUAUUUUCUGGGUGUGUUUGGAAGUAGACUGUUGCUUAUCUUCAUACUGCUCCCAAUAUCACCUUCUUCUGAAAUAAUUUGUUUUGGUGUGUUUGGUAUAUUUGAAAAUAUUCCCAAGAGCCACAGACUGGUGAAAAUUCUUCCUUGAAGGGGUUGAUUGGUAAUAUAUAUAUGUGAUACUUAUAACUUCAUUUUUCUUCUCUCCUUGACUCUGACCAAAACCUUUGCACUGAUUGAUUAUAGUUGUGCCAAAAUUGUUCACA